GACGAACGCUGGCGGCGUGCCUAUACAUGCAAGUCGAGCGGAUUGUUCCUUCGGGAACAGUUAGCGGCGGACGGGUGAGUAACACGUAGGCAACCUGCCUGUAAGACCGGGAUAACUAUCGGAAACGAUAGCUAAGACCGGAUAGCUGGUUCUCUCGCAUGAGGGAAUCAUGAAACACGGAGCAAUCUGUGGCUUACGGAUGGGCCUGCGGCGCAUUAGCUAGUUGGUGAGGUAACGGCUCACCAAGGCGACGAUGCGUAGCCGACCUGAGAGGGUGAUCGGCCACACUGGGACUGAGACACGGCCCAGACUCCUACGGGAGGCAGCAGUAGGGAAUCUUCCGCAAUGGACGCAAGUCUGACGGAGCAACGCCGCGUGAGUGAUGAAGGUUUUCGGAUCGUAAAGCUCUGUUGCCAGGGAAGAACGCUUGGGAGAGUAACUGCUCCUGAGGUGACGGUACCUGAGAAGAAAGCCCCGGCUAACUACGUGCCAGCAGCCGCAGUAACAC
rnacentral:rRNA from 1 species